rnacentral:rRNA from 1 species
AGUGAACGCUGGCGGUAGGCCUAACACAUGCAAGUCGAACGGCAGCACAGUAAGAGCUUGCUCUUACGGGUGGCGAGUGGCGGACGGGUGAGGAAUACAUCGGAAUCUACUUUUUCGUGGGGGAUAACGUAGGGAAACUUACGCUAAUACCGCAUACGACCUACGGGUGAAAGCAGGGGAUCUUCGGACCUUGCGCGAUUGAAUGAGCCGAUGUCGGAUUAGCUAGUUGGCGGGGUAAAGGCCCACCAAGGCGACGAUCCGUAGCUGGUCUGAGAGGAUGAUCGGCCACACUGGAACGGAGACACGGUCCAGACUCCUACGGGAGGCAGCAGUGGGGAAUAUUGGGCAAUGGGCGCAAGCCUGAUCCAGCCAUACCGCGUGGGUGAAGAAGGCCUUCGGGUUGUAAAGCCCUUUUGUUGGGAAAGAAAAGCAGCAGGUUAAUACCCCGCUGUUCUGACGGUACCCAAAGAAUAAGCACCGGCUAACUUCGUG